GCAGUCGACGAUGACCACUUCRGUGGGGAUUAGUGGCGAACGGGUGAGUAACACGUGGGCAAUCUGCCCUUCACUCUGGGACAAGCCCUGGAAACGGGGUCUAAUACCGGAUACCACUACCGCAGGCAUCUGUGGUGGUUGAAAGCUCCGGCGGUGAAGGAUGAGCCCGCGGCCUAUCAGCUUGUUGGUGAGGUAAUGGCUCACCAAGGCGACGACGGGUAGCCGGCCUGAGAGGGCGACCGGCCACACUGGGACUGAGACACGGCCCAGACUCCUACGGGAGGCAGCAGUGGGGAAUAUUGCACAAUGGGCGAAAGCCUGAUGCAGCGACGCCGCGUGAGGGAUGACGGCCUUCGGGUUGUAAACCUCUUUCAGCAGGGAAGAAGCGAAAGUGACGGUACCUGCAGAAGAAGCGCCGGCUAACUACGUGCCAGCAGCCGCGGUAAUACGUAGGGCGCAAGCGUUGUCCGGAAUUAUUGGGCGUAAAGAGCUCGUAGGCGGCUUGUCACGUC
rnacentral:rRNA from 1 species